AAUGUUGAACAUCUUAGUGCAUAUAACAGGGACAAAAUCAUACCGAAUGAUCUUGGAUCAGCUAGCAAAAAACAAGAUGUCCUUGGCAGAAUCCAGUCACUCUGGUGGGAAGAGAAAGAGCCACCUACAUAACAAUGCCCUGAUUUGUGGUCCCAGGAAUUUUGCAGCACAGAAUAGUGGGGGAUAAGGCUGCAUAAAUCAUGAUUUUUGACAAGACAAGGCUAGUCAUGGGGACGGCGAAUAAAAUUGUGGUUGCCGGGCUUUUCUCUCGAUGCAGUAAAUCACCGGUGAAGAAAGGCAGACCUGGAACUAUUCCCAGGAAGAUGAUCAUUAUAUUAUGUUAAAUUGAAUGCCCAUUCAUAAUUAACUUAAUUAACUUCCCUCUUUAUCUUUAGCCUUUCUGCAGUCUUCAAAUUCUUCAGUUUACCUCUUUCAAUCUUGUUUUUUGUCAUUCAAAAUAGUCAACCAGAAGAACCUCUGGUAGAUAAAGAGUUAUUUUUUAACAGCAA